UACGGAGGUGGCAAGCGUUACUCGGAAUCAUUGGGUGUAAAGGGCAAGUAGGCGGCCUGAUAAGUGAGGGGUGAAAUCCUGCGGCUCAAUCGCAGAAUUGCCUUUCAUACUGCCAGGCUUGAGGAUGGAAGAGGGAAAUGGAAUUCUCGGUGUAAGGGUGAAAUCUGUAGAGAUCGAGAAGAACACCAGCGGCGAAGGCGAUUUCCUGGUCCAUCCCUGACGCUGAAUUGCGAAAGCUAGGGGAGCAAACAGA
rnacentral:rRNA from 1 species